rnacentral:piRNA from 1 species
UGUCUCAGAGGAGUACCCGGCCGUGG